rnacentral:lncRNA from 1 species
AGUGAGGGAGGGUAUCAGGCACCAGCUUGCAUGGCACAGGGCCUCCGCCAGUCCCCUGUGCUGGCUGAAGCCAGGUGAGAGUGGCCAAUGGGGCCAGGAGCACACACAAAGUCAGGCCCAGGCCUGGGGCAGCACGUGGUCCUGUACCCUGGAGGGGUGCAGACGGCGAGGUCCUAUCCCAAGGUGGGUGUCUCCUCUGGGGAGUCCCUGAGCUAGGAGUUAACACAGAGAAGGGAGCGGCCCUUUAACAUUCUCUGUAAGUGCCGUGCGGGGUCCACCCAGCCCCAAGCCUGCGGGAUCCCUGACCUGAAGACCAGCGACUCCUCCUCCAAGGUGAGCAGGACGGCGAGGGCGAGCAGAUGGCAUCACAGGGAGGGCACAGGUGUGGACCAUCCUUCAUUCACCUCCUUCCAGGAGGUCUCAAAGAGGGGAGCUCACAGUCUAGUGGGUGGGAGAACGAGACAGGAAGACCUAUGAUGGAAUAACGACGUUACCACAUCAACAGUUGUUAAAAGAGCCGAUGGAUGCUUUUCAACUUCGCUAUGUGCCAGACACGCUCUACACACUUGGCAUGUGAUCGUGUGUUUAUACCUCCCCUAGGAGUAGGCAUUAACCCCAUUUUAAAGAUGAAUAAACUAAAGCACAGAGAGGUGGCAGAUGAAGUAGCCUUCCCAAGGUCACACCGCUGGCCAACAUAAGGUAAUAAUCAGUGCUGCUACUGAUCCUUAUCUGGCACCAGGAAUAAAUGAAUCAAGCCAUGGAAACACGUCUUCAGGUACCGUCAAUUCUCUCUACAGAGGAAACCCUCCCAACUCCCAUUGUUGGCCUUCAUUCCCAGAGGUCACUCUGAGGAUGAGGAUACUUGAGGGGGUAGUAACACGUUGCACAAAUAAAGCAUGUGCCUUUCAUUCAGCCAGGCUGUUGGGAGGACAGAGACGUCCCUUUCCCUACACGGCGCCGCGUGUCCAAGAUUAUUUCAUACCUAAAAAAGAGGCUCCCCAUACAUGCUUUAUUCACCAGCGAGUCUGCAAGGAAGGGAGGAAGACCCUGGUGUCACCUACAAAGUCAGCAUCAUCCCUGGGAAUUCUGGGCCGAGUGGCAUGAAUUCUGGGUCACACGUCAGGCACUUAUCAUGGGGUGAAUCAUCUGUUUCCUUACCCUGGGUAGGCGCCGGCUGAAAUUUCCCCUUGUGAAGUUUUCCCAAGAAGAAUUUGGUACUGAAAGGAGAUUGGCCAUGUAAUACUCAUCAUAAAUAAAAUGAACACACCAUGGACAACCUCCAUUCAAGUACCCAACUAGGGUGCUGGCUUCUGGCAUGUCCCAAACAUCAGGCCUAAGGACGGAUGGGAUGCUGAGUGUGAAGAUGCUGGCAACACACAUUGGCAAUGAAACAAGCAUGGACUCCCGUGUCCCUUCCUUGUAAGUAGCCCCCUUUCUGGGAAGCCAUUCAGGAGGGACACACUGCAACGAAGAGGAGCAGAGCAUCACGUUAUACACAAAGCGAGGGCCACAAGGAUGACUUCCUGUUAAGCAGGAAGUGGGUCUACAGUGAAAGUACCACCUCUUCAGGAAAGCUGGCAUCAGGGACAAGGGGUACCUCUAGACAUGCGCGACACACAGAGGUGAGCAAACACAGGUGACACAUACAUGAAGAGACGUGCACACACUCAGCUCAACUAUCUAUCCAGAUGUGCAGACACCAACUCUAGUUUCUGGGUGACUUAGGGCCAGAUUUGAUACCUAAAAAAAGGUCAACCAUGUAUGAUUCGUCAAAAAAAAUAAAGCGAAUGCACCAUGGAAGACCUCUCUUCAAGUACCACCAAGUAGCUCUGGUAAGAAAAACCCCACUUCUCCCUUCAUGUUGGCACCACCUCCAAGCAUCUUCCCAUGGACGGUCACACACCAAGGGGGAGGACUGGGUCACACAGCAUCAGGAAACUGUGCGCUCUGCCAUCCACCUGUGGUCAACAGUCCCUCCAUUUACCCUGCAGGAGCUGACCCCAAGGUCCCGCCCUGACGUGGUACUCUGCCUCUUAAAGCGGAAUUUGGUACUGAAAAAUAGGUGAGCCGUGAAUGGCUCUUCACCAAUAAAGUGAGAGCUACACAGAUAACCUAUCUUCAAGUCACACAGAUUAGCACUGACCAGGUGCCAGUGCCUCGUCUCCAAAGCUGGCCUUCUUCAGGAAGUCCCUCUAAAGACAGAGUGAACACUGAUUGUUAGCAGACUGAUAGAGCAGCAUGAAUGAAACACACCCUCUAAGUUCAACCAGCCCAUCCUAGACCCUGAAGUAGCUCAGACAUGCACACCUUUGCCUGCCUGGCAAAGGAUAUCUAAGAAGCACUUCCAAGGCAUUGCAGGUGGAGAGGUCAAGUUCAUAAACAUUCAUUAUUUAUCACAGCAGGGACCAUUUCCUCAUUUUGUAUUUACAUCAGUGAUCCUUUCCUCACCUAUGUCUUGUGUCCAGGAAGCUCCCCAAAGCUGGAGUUUAUUCCAGAGAAGUUGAAUUUGCCAUACUGCUCUUAAAGAACAUGACAGCAUGGUACACAAACUUUAUGAUACUAAGGUAUGGCACUGACCUCGGAAUUGUGGCCUCAUCUCCAAAGGUAGGCAGAACUUCCGAGGAAUCUUCCU